AGGACGAACGCUGGCGGCGUGCUUAACACAUGCAAGUCGAGCGGUAAGGCCUUUCGGGGUACACGAGCGGCGAACGGGUGAGUAACACGUGGGUGAUCUGCCCUGCACUUCGGGAUAAGCCUGGGAAACUGGGUCUAAUACCGGAUAUGACCUGCGUUAUCGCAGUGGUUGGGGUGG
rnacentral:rRNA from 1 species